AACGCACAUUGCGCCCCCUGGCAUUCCGGGGGGCAUGCCCGUUCGAGCGUCAUUUCAAACCCUCAAGCACCGCUUGGCCAUGGGCGUCCACGCCCCCCGCACGUCGGGGGGCGCGCCCCAAAGACCUCGGCGGUGGCACCGAGCCUCUGAGCGUAGUAGAAACACCCCGCUCACCGAGGCCCGGCGUCGCCCGCCCCCAGUCCCCCAGCACCUUCAAGGUUGACCUCGGAUCGGGUAGGGAUACCCGCUGAACUUAA
rnacentral:misc_RNA from 1 species